rnacentral:misc_RNA from 1 species
CCGAGUUUACAACUCCCAAACCCAAUGUGAACGUUACCAAACUGUUGCCUCGGCGGGAUCUCUGCCCCGGGUGCGUCGCAGCCCCGGACCAAGGCGCCCGCCGGAGGACCAACCAAAACUCUUUUUGUAUACCCCCUCGCGGGUUUUUUUAUAAUCUGAGCCUUCUCGGCGCCUCUCGUAGGCGUUUCGAAAAUGAAUCA